GAUGAACGCUGACAGAAUGCUAACACAUGCAAGUCAACUUGGUUGCGGACGGGUGAGUAACGCGUAAGAACUUGCCUCACAGGUAGGGACAACAUUUGGAAACGAAGCUAUACCUAAUACUGUGAGAGAGCUUUGCGUCCCAUUAGCUAGUUGGAGAGGUAACGGCUCACCAAGGCGAUGAUGGGUAGCCGGCCUGAGAGGGUGAUCGGCCACAAGGGGACUGAGACACGGCCCUUAAGCCGACGGGAGGCAGCAGUGGGGAAUUUUGGACAAUGGGGGAAACCCUGAUCCAGCCAUCCCGCGUGUGCGAUGAAGGCUUCGGGUUGUAAAGCACUGUUGGCAGGAAAGCGGUACCUGCAGAAUAAGCACCGGCUAACUACGUGCCAGCAGCCGCGGUAAUAC
rnacentral:rRNA from 1 species